GCACGUAGCUCAGUGGUAGAGUGCAUGCCUAGCAUGCAGGAAGCCCUGGGUUUGAUCCCCGGCACUGCA
rnacentral:tRNA from 1 species